rnacentral:rRNA from 1 species
UACACUCCUACGGGAGGCAGCAGUGAGGAAUAUUGGACAAUGGGUGGAAGCCUGAUCCAGCCAUCCCGCGUGCAGGAAGACGGCCCUAUGGGUUGUAAACUGCUUUUAUCUGGGGAUAAACCUACUUACGUGUAAGUAGCUGAAGGUACCAGAAGAAUAAGCACCAGCUAACUCCGUGCCAGCAGCCGCGGUAAUACGGAGGGUGCAAGCGUUAUCCGGAUUUAUUGGGUUUAAAGGGUCCGUAGGCGGACUGAUAAGUCAGUGGUGAAAUCCGACAGCUUAACUGUCGAACUGCCAUUGAUACUGUUAGUCUUGAGUAAGGUUGAAGUGGCUGGAAUAAGUAGUGUAGCGGUGAAAUGCAUAGAUAUUACUUAGAACACCAAUUGCGAAGGCAGGUCACUAAGUCUUAACUGACGCUGAUGGACGAAAGCGUGGGGAGCGAACAGGAUUAGAAACCCGAGUAGUCCCAUGA